GAGGUUAUAUAAGCUGCGGUCGUCACAUCACGCGCACAGCCGGACUCUGAGUGGACGUCGCCUGACGGGAGAGCUUUCACGAGAUUGUCAUCCGAUUGUUCUGCUCCACAGCACAGCACAGCACAGUCUUUGGCUUUUGUGCUGGAUGGAGAAACUGAGAAGUUUAUAAACAGAAGGCAUGGAAGAAGAGAGCAGGUCCUAAAACAAAGAAAUUCUUCUUAAGGAUAAACCUGAGGUCCUGGGAGUUCUUAGAGGUUCUAAAGUGUUUUUUAUGCAUUUGUUGAUGUCAAAUUUUCAAUAAUAAAUUCUCAUAGUUUUUACAUUUAUAUGGUGUCAUUCUAUGGUGUGUGUAAUAUUUGUGGAAACAACAUUGUUAAAAAAAAUACUGGCUUUAAUAAUAC